rnacentral:rRNA from 1 species
UGGGGAAUAUUGCACAAUGGAGGGAACUCUGAUGCAGCGACGCCGCGUGAACGAAGAAGGCUUUCGAGUCGUAAAGUUCUUUUAUAUGGGAAGAUAAUGACGGUACCAUAAGAAAAAGCCCCGGCUAACUACGUGCCAGCAGCCGCGGUAAUACGUAGGGGGCUAGCGUUGUCCGGAAUCACUGGGCGUAAAGGGUUCGCAGGCGGAAAGGCAAGUCAGGUGUAAAAGGCAGUAGCUUAACUACUGUAAGCAUUUGAAACUGCAUAUCUUGAGAAGAGUAGAGGUAAGUGGAAUUUUUAGUGUAGCGGUGAAAUGCGUAGAUAUUAAAAAGAAUACCGGUGGCGAAGGAGACUUACUGGGCUCAUUCUGACGCUGAGGAACGAAAGCGUGGGUAGCAAACAGG